UUAGAUUCUUAAUUUUUGGUUCCGUUUUCAAAUUGGUCUACAUUAAGGUCAAAAGGGUCCAAAAUUAAACUUAGUUUGAUUUUAACAAAAAUUGAAUUUUUAGGGUACUUUGAUAUGCUGAAUCUAAACAUGUAUUUAGAUUUUUGAUUAUGGGCCCAGUUUUCAAGUUGGUCCAAAUCGGGGUCCAAAAUUAAACUUUGUUUGAUUUCAACAAAAAUUGAAUAUAUGGGGUUCUUUGAUAUGCUGAAUCUAACCAUGUAUUUAGAUUUUUGAUUUUUGGGCCCCGUUAUCAACUUUGUCCACAUUGAGGUCAAAAGGGUCCAAAAUUAAACUUUGUUUGAUUUCAUCAAAAAUUGAAUUCUUGGGGUUCUUUGAUAUGCUGAAUCUAACCAUGUAUUUAGAUUUUUUAUUUGUGGACCCGCUAUCAAAUUGGUUCAUAUUGAGGUCAAAAGGGUCCAAAAUUAAACUUUGUUUGAUUUCAUCAAAAAUUGAAUUAUUGGGGUUCUUUGAUAUGCCAAAUCUAACCGUGUAUUUAGAUUUUUAAUUUUGGGUCCUGUUUUUAAAUUGGUCUACAUUAAGGUCCAAAGGGUCCAAAAUUAAACUUAGUUUGAUUUUAACAAAAAUUGAAUUCUUGGGGUUCUUUGAUAUGCUGAAUCUAAACAUGUGUUUAGAUUUUUGAUUAUGGGCCCAGUUUGCAAGUUGGUCCAAGUUGGGGUCCAAAAUUAAACUUUGUUUGAUUUCAACAAAAAUUGAAUAUAUGGGGUUCUUUGAUAUGCUGAAUCUAAACAUGUAUUUAGAUUUUAGAUUUUUGGCCCAGUUUUCAAGUUGGUCCAAAUUGGGGUCCAAAAUUAAACUUUGUUUGAUUUCAACAAAAAUUGAAUAUAUGGGGUUCUUUGAUAUGCUGAAUCUUACCAUGUAUUUAGAUUUUUUAUUUGUGGGCCCGCUAUCAAAUUGGUUCAUAUUGAGGUCAAAAGGGUCCAAAAUUAAACUUUGUUUGAUUUCAUCAAAAAUUUAAUUAUUGGGGUUCUUUGAUAUGCCAAAUCUAACCGUGUAUUUAGAUUUUUAAUUUUGGGUCCCGUUUUUUAAAUUGGUCUACAUUAAGGUCCAAAGGGUCCAAAAUUAAACUUAGUUUGAUUUUAACAAAAAUUGAAUUUUUGGGGUUCUUUGAUAUGCUGAAUCUAAACAUGUGUUUAGAUUUUUGAUUAUGGGACCAGUUUUCAAUUUUUUCCAAGUUGGGGUCCAAAAUUAAACUUUGUUUGAUUUCAACAAAAAUUGAAUAUAUGGGGUUCUUUGAUAUGCUGAAUCUAACCAUGUAUUUUGAUUUUGGACAUUGGACCAUAAUAGGUAAAUUAAAAAAAUUGAAGUUCUUAGACCACAUUCUUUCUGUGUCAGAAACCUAUGCUGUGUCAAAUAUUUAAUCACAAUCCAAAUUCAGAGCUGUAUCAAGCUUGAAUGUUGUGUCCAUACUUGCCCCAACUGUUCAGGGUUCGACCUCUGCGGUCGUAUCAAGCUGCGCCCAGCGAAGCAUUUUAUUAGAACCCUAGUUUUAUGCAUAUUAUAAUUUAUUAAAGAAAAAUAAAUAAAUAAAUAUAAGUCUUUUCCUAAUAAAUGAAAUAAAUUCUCUCAAAACUGACGCCACACUUAAAAUAUUUGGUUUGCCCAAACCCUACCCAAAGGUAGAGACAGUGGGUAAUUGGUAGGCAUUUUCAUUUUUUUUUUUCGUCACUUGCAGUCCAAUAUUCAAUAAUGUUACAGUGACUUGAUUGAAAGUGCAACUCUCCUCCUAUUCCAUUAAAGUGAAAAUGCAGAACAAAUAAUAAUAAUAAAUAGGCUUUUAAUAUUUAGAGAGUCUGCAUGGUUUACAAAAUAGUUCAGUUCUAUUGAGCUUUUUUAACCAGCAUCCAAUGCAAGGUAUUUAUAACAAUACUAUACAAACAAAAUUACAAUUUGUUACAUGUACAUGUACAUCUGAUCAAAUCAAACUGUUCAACUGGUGAGGCGUUUUAACCUCAGAAAAUCUACAAUCAAGUCAUCACAGUGAUACAAUAUAUGUACAUGUUCAAAGCAUGACAAUUUCAACUUUUUGCUGUCUUUGACAAAAUUGAGGUCAAGUUCAAUGUUAAAGAUUUUCCCUUUUUGUCGAGCCUUCGACUUUAGUCGAAAAAGCGAGACAUAGCGAUCCUACAUUCCGUCGUCGUCGGCGGCGUCCACAAAUAUUCACUCUGUGGUUAAAGUUUUUGAAAUUUUAAAAACUUUCUUAAACUAUCCUGGAUUUCUACCAAACUUGGACAGAAGCUUGUUUAUGAUCAUAAGAUAGUAUCCAGAAGUAAAUUUUGUAACAAUAAAAUUCCAUUUUUCUGUAUUUUACUUAUAAAUGGACUUAGUUUUUCUGCCGGGAAAUAUUACAUUCACUCUGUGGUUAUAGUUUUUAAAAUUUUUAUAACUUUCUUAAUCUAUCCUGGGUUUGUACCAAACUUGGACAGAAGCUUGUUUAUGCUCAUAAGAUAGUAUCUAGAAGUAAAUUCUGUAAAAAAAUAAAUUUUUUUUUUCCUUAUUUUACUUUUAAAUGGACUUAGAUUUUCUGCCAGGAAACAACACAUUCACUCUGUGGUUAAAGUUUUUAAAAUUUUAAUAACUUUCUUAUACUAUUUUAGAUUUGUACCAAACUUGGACAGAAGCUUGUUUAUGAUCAAAUGCUAGUACCUAGAAGGAAAUUUUGUAAAAAAAUAAAUCCAUUUUUUCCGUAUUUUACUUUUAAAUGGACUUAGAUUUUCUGCAAGGAAACAACAUAUUCACUCUGUGGUUAAAGUUUUUAAAAUUUUAAGAACUUUCUUAUACUAUUUUGGAUUUGUACAAAACUUGGACAGAAGCUUGUUUAUGAUCAAAUGCUAGUAUCUAGAAGGAAAUUUUGUUUUCUUCCAGUUAACAUUACAUUCAGUCUGCAGUUAAAGUUUUUAAACAUUUAUUAGAUUCAUAAACUAUCCUGGAUUUUUACCAAACUUGGACAGAAGCUUCUUACAAUCAAAAGUUAGUAUCAAGAGAAAUAUUUUUAUUGAUUUACUUCCUCAUUUUUGUUAAGCCUGCGAUUAACAGAAAAAGUAGGCGAGACACUGGGUUCUGCGGAACCCUUACAAAUUUUUAGCUCACCUGGCCCAAAGGGGCAAGUGAGCUUUUCUCAUCACUUGGCGUCCGUCGUCCCUAAACUUUUACAAAAAUCUUCUCCUCUGAAACUACUGGGCCAAAUUUGACCAAACUUGGCCACAAUCAUCAUUGGGGUAUCUAGUUUAAAAAAUGUGUCCGGUGACCCGGCCAACCAACCAAGAUGGCCGCCAUGGCUAAAAAUAGAACAUAGGGGGUAAAAUGUAGAUUUUGGCUUAUAUCUCUGAAACCAAAGCAUUUAGAGCAAAUCUGACAUGGGGUAAAAUUGUUUAUCAGGUCAAGAUCUAUCUGCUCUGAAAUUUUCAGAUGAAUCUGACAACCUUUUGUUGGGUUGCUGCCCCUGAAUUGGUAAUUUUAAGGAAAUUUUGCCGUUUUUGGUUAUCAUCUUGAAUAUUAUUAUAGAUAGAGAUAAACUGUAAACAGCAAUAAUGUUCAGCAAAGUAAGAUCUACAAAUAAGUCAACUUGACCAAAAUGGUCAGUUGACCCCUUAAGGAGUUAUUGCCCUUUAUAGUCGAUUUUUUACAAUUUUUGUAAAUUUUUACAAAAUAUCUUCCACUGUAACUACUGGGCCAAGUUCAUUAUAGAUGGAGAUAAUUGUAAGCAGCAAUAAUGUUCAGUAAAGUAAGAUCUACAAACACAUCACCAUCACCAAAACACAAUUUUGUCAUGAAUCCAUCUGUGUCCUUUGUUUAAUAUGCACAUAGACCAAGGUGAGCGACACAGGCUCUUUAAAGCCUCUAGUUUACAAGUUUAGGAGUUAUGGUCCUGGAUUGAUUGGAAAAUGACACUAUAUGUCUUUUCUUUUAAAUAAUUUAUGAACUGUUCUACCAAUGUGUUUCAAAUUUACUAUGUUGUUACUGAUGACAAAAUGGAGAUCAAGGUUGAUAAUGAGGAUUUUUUUCUCUGUCAUAGUGACAGCCUCUUGUUAAGGUCUCAACCUCAUCUUUCAAUCUUAUUUGUUGACUUUAGUCACUAACAAAAGAUAUAUACAAUAAAAUUAAAAAUCUGUACAAAAGAGUGUUUUGAAAUAAAUUGGAUAAAUGUAUGUCACUAUGAAUGUAUCACUGUGGUAUUAUAUUAUGAAAAAGUAUACGACUUUCAAUAAUAUAAGCAUAUAU